GCUCUUGUACCUCAGUGGGUUAAAGCACCCGUUUAGUAAGCGAGGUCUUGAAUUCGACUCUCAAUAAGAGCA
rfam:Ipomoea nil DNA, scaffold: scaffold2165, cultivar: Tokyo-kokei standard.